UUUUAAAAAGAAGUUAAGUUUUAUUUUAAUUUAAAUUAUUUUAAAAUUACAUUUAAACUUUUUAUAAUUUGAAACUGAAAAGGAACAAGGAUUAGUUUUAUAAAAGUAAAUACUUGUACCUUUAGCAUAAGGGAUUUUUAAUAAAAAAUAAAAAUUUAUUUAUUUCGAAAUUAACUGAUCUAUUUUAUUUUAGUAUAAAAUUAUAUUUAAAAAUAUUUUAAAAAAUAUAAUAGAAGUGAAAUUCUUAUCAAAGUUAAAGAUACCUAAUUUUUAUUUUAAAAAUAAAGUUUGCCUUAUAAUAUUUAAUAUUAAUUUUAAUUAUAAGGGAAUAUGUAAGGGAUAAGCUUUAUAUAUAAAUUAUAUAAUAUUUCUUUAUAAAUUGAACAAGAAAUAAAAUUAUUCUUUUAUUGUUAUAAAUAAUUUAAUUAAUAUGUAAUUUUACAAUAAUUUUUUAUUUAAUUUUAAAAAUUUUAUUAAAAUUUAAAAAUGAAAAUACUAGUAAAAUAAUUUUAUUUUAUAUUUAAGUAAAAUUACAAAUUUUAUAAUUAAAUUAAAUUUAAAGAACUUGGCAAAAAAUUUUUUUGACUGUUUAUUAAAAACAAUGUAUUUAGAAAAAAUUAAAUAUAAAUCCUGCUCAAUGAAUUUUAAAUUGCUGUAGUAUUUUGACUAUACAAAGGUAUUGAAAUAAGACUUUAAUUGAGUGCUAAGAGAAUGGACUUUCAAAAAAAUGCUUUCUUAAUUUUAAAAAUUGAAAUUAUUUUUUUUUGUGAAGAAACAACAAUAAAAAUUAAAGACAAGAAGACCCUAAGAAUUUUUAUAAAUUUAUUAUAUUAAUAUACAAUACAUUUAUUUAAUUGGGGCGAUUUGAAAAUAUUUAAAACUUUUUAAAAACUAAUAAGAUCCAUUAAUAAUGAUUUUAUGAAAAAAAUACUCUAGGGAUAACAGCGUAAUAAUUUUAGAUAGAUCUUAUAGAAAAAAUAGUUUGCGACCUCGAUGUUGGAUUAGGAUUCUUAUUUAAUGAAGAAGUUAAAAAAAGAAGUUUGUUCAACUUUUAAAUUCCUACAUGAUCUGAGUUUAGACCGAUGUGAAUCAGGUUGGUUUCUAUCUUAAUUUUAAUUAAAAUUUAAUUAGUACGAAAGGAAUUUUAAAUUAAAAAUUUUUUAAUAAAGAUAAACAGUUUUUGCAUCAAUUUUUGGAAUU
rnacentral:rRNA from 1 species